CGAACCGUCCAAACGUUAUUCGGAAUCACUGGGCUUACAGAGUUCGUAGGCGGUCCCAAAAGUUAGGUGUGAAAUCCCUCGGCUUAACCGAGGAACUGCGCUUAAAACUGUGGGACUCGAGGGAGGUAGAGGAAAGCGGAACUGAUGGUGGAGCGGUGAAAUGCGUUGAUAUCAUCAGGAACACCGGUGGCGAAGGCGGCUUUCUGGGUCUUACCUGACGCUGAGGAACGAAAGCCAGGGGAGCGAACGGGAUUAGAUACCCCGGUAGUCCUGGCCGUAAACGAUGAGCACUAGGUCGUGGGCCUCCACAGGCCCUCGGCCGUAGCGAAAGUGUUAAGUGCUCCGCCUGGGGAGUAUGGUCGCAAGGCUG
rnacentral:rRNA from 1 species